rnacentral:rRNA from 1 species
UACAGAGGUGGCAAGCGUUGUUCGGAAUUACUGGGCGUAAAGGGCGCGUAGGCGGUCUUCUAAGUCCUGUGUGAAAUCCCUCGGCUCAACUGAGGAACUGCACGGGAUACUGGAAGACUUGAGUUCGGGAGAGGGAAGCGGAAUUCCGGGUGUAGCGGUGAAAUGCGUAGAUAUCCGGAGGAACACCGGGGGCGAAGGCGGCUUCCUGGACCGAUUACUGACGCUGAGGCGCGAAAGCUAGGGGAGCAAACGGG